AAGAUAUUAGUAAAAUUAAUUACAUGACUUUGUCAAAGUCAAAUUAUAAGAUAAAACUUAUAUAUCUUGA
rnacentral:tRNA from 1 species